UGGGGUAUCGCCAAGCGGUAAGGCACCGGUUUUUGAUACNNACCGGCAUUCCCUGGUUCGAAUCCAGGUACCCCAGCCA
rnacentral:tRNA from 1 species